rnacentral:rRNA from 1 species
AGGACGAACGCUGGCGGCGUGCAUAACACAUGCAAGUCAAGGGGGUCAGUAGCAAUACUGGCAACCGGCGAACGGGUGCGUAACACGUAAGCGACCUACCUCGAUGUGGGGCAUAGCCGGCCUAACGGCCGGGUAAUUCCGCAUAAGAUCCCGAUGAGGCAUCUCAUUGAGAUGAAACCAGUAAUGGGCGUCGAGAGGGGCUUGCGGCCUAUCAGCUAGUUGGCGAGGUAACGGCUCACCAAGGCUACGACGGGUAGC